CUGACGGUACCUGCAGAAUAAGCCCCGGCUAACUACGUGCCAGCAGCCGCGGUAAUACGUAGGGUGCAAGCGUUAAUCGGAAUUACUGGGCGUAAAGCGUGCGCAGGCGGUUCGGAAAGAAAGAUGUGAAAUCCCAGAGCUUAACUUUGGAACUGCAUUUUUAACUACCGGUCUAGAGUGUGUCAGAGGGAGGUGGAAUUCCGCGUGUAGCAGUGAAAUGCGUAGAUAUGCGGAGGAACACCGAUGGCGAAGGCAGCCUCCUGGGAUAACACUGACGCUCAUGCACGAAAGCGUGGGGAGCAAACAGGAUUAGAUACCCUGGUAGUCCACGCCCUAAACGAUGUCAACUA
rnacentral:rRNA from 1 species